UACGUAGGGUGCAAGCGUUAAUCGGAAUUACUGGGCGUAAAGCGUGCGCAGGCGGUGAUGUAAGACAGUUGUGAAAUCCCCGGGCUCAACCUGGGAGCUGCAUCUGUGACUGCAUCGCUGGAGUGCGGCAGAGGGGGAUGGAAUUCCGCGUGUAGCAGUGAAAUGCGUAGAUAUGCGGAGGAACACCGAUGGCGAAGGCAAUCCCCUGGGCCUGCACUGACGCUCAUGCACGAAAGCGUGGGGAGCAAACAGG
rnacentral:rRNA from 1 species